rnacentral:tRNA from 1 species
GAGUAAAGAAGUAAAAUUACAUUUAAUUUCGACUUAAAAUUAAGGAAACAUUCCUCAUACUCA